rnacentral:lncRNA from 1 species
GUUGAGAAAGUAAUUGAAUAAGAUUUUUUUCAGAGAUUACUUCCUGAACUGACUGAUCUCAUGGAUGACCCCAAACCUGACCUUUACUAUACCCAUUUACUAUGGGCAGGAACCAUAACUCUCACACCCUAGUCGUUUAACAUUUACACAAGGAUUCAUUUUCAUUUCCUUAAUCCAACAUCUCACAGAAACAGCUGGACAUGUCCCCAUAAUGGGCCUGGGUUUCUACCCUAUCAUGGUUUGGUUAGCUAUCAAAUUCACUGAUGUGUGAAGUACAGUUUUCCACUCUGUCUGUGGUACACAUCUAACAGCGCUGUCUGUGUGUACACAUCUAACAGAGCUGUCUGUGUGUUACAUCUAACAGAGCUGUCUGUGUGUACACAUCUAACAACGCUGUCUGUGUGUACACGUCUAACGCGCUGUCUGUGUACACGUCUAACAGAGCUGUCUGUGUGUACACAUCUAACAGCGUGUCUGUGUGUACACAUCUAACAACGCUGUCUGUGUGUACACGUCUAACAGCGCUGUCUGUGGUGUACACGUCUAACCAGAGCUGUCUGUGUGUACACAUCUAACAGAGAUGUCUGGUGUACACAUCUAACAGCGCUGUCUGUGUGUACACGUCUAACAGCUGUCUGUGAGGAAACAUCUAAAAGAGCUGUCAAACAUUAGGCACCAAGACAGAGUUAGAAGGUAGGGUGACUGGUGCUGUGUUUUCUCUAAACCGAUUUAAAAACACCCCUCUUCUAACAGUCUUUUCUUUCUCAUAGCAACACACACAAAAACAAACACAGAUAUUCCUAGUCAUACACACAACUCUUUCAUAUGUUAUUAUAUCCUCCAAGAAGCACUCUGAAACCCCCCAACUCCGAGCACCCUUUCCCAGCCACGAGCAGAGCAACAGCCCCUUACCUUUUUGGAGUCCUGGAGGAGACGAGGUACUGUGGACUGGAGCUCUGGAGGAGACGAGGUACUUGUGGACUGGAGCUCUGGAGGAGACGAGGUACUGUGGACUGGAGCCUGGAGGAGACGAGGUUGGGUAUUGGACUGGAGCCCUGGAGGAGACGAGGUUACUGUGGACUGUAGCCCUGGAGGGGGAGACGAUGGGUUACUGUGGACUGUAGUCCUGGAGGAGACGAGGU